rnacentral:ncRNA from 1 species
AAAGAAACUUUGAUCAGACUAGUAGGAAGAUUAUCUUGGUUAGAGAGCUCCGGUUGGUGAAAAGGGGUCCUGAUAACUUGCGAAUCACAUCUGGGAGUUGACUCUUUGAAGGUUAGUAGAAGAGGCCCGGUUAGCUCGUUAUCGCUGAAGUUUAAACAUUAAACUUACUGAGGUCUGUCGUGUGAACGACUGACAAGUAUGAGGUGGAACCGCGAUAAUCGCCCUCUUG